rnacentral:tRNA from 1 species
GACUUAGUGGUCACUGCGCUCGCCUUGCACGCGGUAGACCCCGGGUUCGAUUCCCGGCGGGGUCA